rnacentral:rRNA from 1 species
UACGUAGGGUGCGAGCGUUACUCGGAAUUACUGGGCGUAAAGCGUGCGCAGGCGGUUUUGUAAGACAGAGGUGAAAUCCCCGGGCUCAACCUGGGAACUGCCUUUGUGACUGUAGAGCUGGAGUGCGGCAGAGGGGGAUGGAAUUCCGCGUGUAGCAGUGAAAUGCGUAGAUAUGCGGAGGAACACCGAUGGCGAAGGCAAUCCCCUGGGCCUGCACUGACGCUCAUGCACGAAAGCGUGGGGAGCAAACAGG